GUCCCCUUAGCUCAGCCGGUAGAGCAUCUGACUGUGAAUCAGAGGGUCGCUAGUUCGAGUCUAGCAGGGGACG
rnacentral:tRNA from 1 species